CUUUAAGCUUCCCAUUUUACCUUAAUGAGAUGAUUUAUAGCCAUAAAAAUAUCUCUGACUUGUUUUAGGCCACAAGUUUCCAGUGUCUCUUUCUUAAACUCCGUGCCCAAUCAAAUUACAUAACAUAAAAUAAGACGGAGGGACUAUUUCUAAAGGACAUUUAUUUACCCAGCUCAUUUUGUAGUUUUUUUCUCGUGUUAGAAGUAUUGUGAUAUAAUAAGGGUGGAAAGUGGUGAAGUUUAUAGGUAAUGACUUUGCUUUCAUGGGGAAGGUUCUAUGGCUGGAUAGAUUGUGAUGAGUGUUGCCAACAUGUGGUCUGAUAUUGAAAAUUUGUUAGUUCAAAACUGCAUGUCUCCUGAAUUUGGAGCUAGUAUUUUCGAUAUGUAGGGUUAUUUGUUGGAAUAAUUAUUCGAUGAUGUAUCUGCAUUUGCAUGUUAAGGCUCUUCUUUAUUUGUGGUACUUAGAACAAAUAAUGAUUUUUAAUGUGAUUCUCUGGUCUAUCUACAGAUGGAAAUGCAUUUUCUGCCAGGCUUCUUAUAUGAGUCUGUCCCUUUAUUCAAGUAAUGGAGACAAUUUUCACAGUUUGCUGGCAGCCUGCAGACGAUCAGUAACAGAUGCAUCGUUAAUUCAGGGUCCUGCCAAAUGGUUAGCUGGUUAAUCAAGUGCCCCUUCUCCCUCCCUUUAAAGCAGUCAUUCUUAAACACCAUAUGUUAUCUCAUUGAGGUUACUGAUGCGAACGUGCAUGUGGACCAUCACAUCUUGUGUUAUGUGUUCUCAGAUCUCUUGUGAAUGGAAGGCACUUCUUCAUAAAUCAGCUUGCAUUUGGAUUCAGCUAUACUGUUGCUCGCUAUGCGCACUCAAUUCUUGUAUUGAUCCCUUUCUGAUACCUUUUAUUGAUUCGUCCCCUUGUUUCCAAUGAUCUCUGUCAAUUUGUUUCUUGAUGUUACAGAAUCAUUCCCAGUUUUGAGGCAUAAGCCUUUUAACUCAGGUGGGGUAGUGUGCAUGAUAUCUGAUUGUUCACUUCAGUAUGGAACUAGUUAUAAUGGAAAAUGAGAUUUUCACAGA